GAGGGUGGAGCUCAGUGGUAGAAUGUGUGCUUAGCAUGCACGAGGUCCUGGGUUCAAUCUCCAGUACCUCCA
rnacentral:tRNA from 1 species